rnacentral:rRNA from 1 species
AUUGAACGCUGGCGGCAGGCCUAACACAUGCAAGUCGAACGAGUGGCGGACGGGUGAGUAAUGUCUGGGAAACUGCCCGAUGGAGGGGGAUAACUAAUGGAAAGGGUAGAUAAUACCGCAUACUAUCAGAUGAGCCCAGAUGGGUUUAGCUAGUAGGUGGGGUAACGGCUCACCGAGGAGACGUUCCCUAGCUGGUCUGAGAGGAUGACCAGCCACCCUGGACCUGAGACACGGUCCAGACUCCUACGGGAGGCAGCAGUGGGGAACAUUGCACAAUGGGCGCAAGCCUGAUGCAGCCAUGCCGCGUGUAUGAAGAAGGCCUUCGGUUUUUAAAGUACUUUCAGCGGGGAGGCGUUACUCACAGAAGAAGCACCGGCUAACUCCGUGCCAGCAGCCGCGGUAAUAC